GACUCAAAACCAGAAAAACAAUUCCAAAUAUAUUGCAAUUUAAAACCUCAUUCAUUUUAUUUUAACCUCAUUCAUUUCAGUGCAUGGAGCUGGGAAUUACCAAAAUUGGGUUAGGUUUCCAAAGGAAUCAUAGGCAUGACAAUGCUGAGACAUAUUGGUUUCUCCUGGAGCGUGUGAUUGCUGGCUGCAGUCGUGGGGACCCUCUUGCCAUGUGUGGGAGACCUGAAGGUCUCCAAAUGGACCAAGGAAAUCCCUUAGAUAGUGGCAAAAAGUGCUGAGACAGAGGUGCUGCUACUGCUACAACCCUAAGGAAAUCUGGGGUCUAUAUCCCCUUAGGCACCAAGGGCUGUGCUUUCAAAAGCAAGGGAAAAUGGAGCCAAGGUAGAGACAGCGUUUUUUCUUUACAUGGUCUCAGAAGAGGUUUGAGUCGCAUCUACUCCAUUGGUUUGUUGAUAGCAGUUUGUUUACAGUGCGUUAGCUCUAUCGGUUUCUAAACAAAGGCAAGUCAAAAGUGGUGUAGAGACAAGACCAUCUGCACAACAUGAUCUGUCACUGGUCCAUUUUGGUACAAUAAACGUGUUCUGUUUGCCUCCGUCCAACUGCAUUCCCUCACAAUUACUUUAUGGACGCUAAUUAUUUUUAUCUAGAGCUCCAGUCACUAGCUUUUGUUCUCAAAUUUUGUAGCUAACUAGCUCCGUUUAAAAAAACAAAACAAAAAAAAAAAAAACUGAGCCACAGGCUUUCAUCAUCUAUUUCAUAAAUGAAGCAGGACCUCUUAAGUAAUGUGCAUAGUCAUAGGAUGUAUAUUUUUAUGUUACAUUUAUAUUUUAAAGAAGACUGUGACAAAGGAUGGCAACAACAGGUUUGUCUCUGAGAUAUUGUUAUUAGCAAGGAUUACAAAAUCACUGUUUACUGUCUGCAGUCAUUCUUAAUAGUUUGGCACUGAACUGCUAACACGUACCAGAGGAAUCACUGGCUAAGGGAAUCAAGGCUCUCUCAAAGUAUAGUUAGAAUGAAGGGUCUGCUCUAUUUCUUCAAUCCAGUUCUAAUAAAACAAUGCUUCCUGCCCACACCUAGCUCACCAAAGUGUGCUGAUUACAACAUGCCCUCCUUUCUGUAGUAGAAUAGGCAUCUUACUUUGUAUACAUGUUUUUGGCAAGCUUUUGCCUGCUGAUGUCUUCCUCUUCAUUUGUGCUUUCUUUAUAGUGUUGUGUUUAGAUAUCUGUUCUUUAUAACACCUUGCUUUACUGUUCACAGGGGUUAGAUUGUUUGCAGCCUGAUCAGCUCCAAAGAAUUAGUUGAUACAGUUUGAAAUUUAGACACAAAUCAAAAAAUAGGGAAAGUAUUUUGCCUUUUUUUCUCCACUUUGCAACUAGCUAAGCUUCCAUAGUUAAGUAUCUUGACCUUUGUACAGCCGGUUGUGUGUGUGGAUGUUUUAGCUGAAUAUUCUAACCUUGUUUUCUGUAUUUAGUUUGGGAUCUCUCAAAUGAAAGGCACUACUGGCCUUAUUUAGGCAUUUCUUCUACAGUUUAUAGUCUAUAAAAAGGAAAUAUAAAGGGUCUCAAGUCUCUACAUGUUUGCUCUGGUAGCACCCCUUAGACUAAGUAACUCCUUACUUGCUCCUUCAUAAUGGCAGAGCCACAGCACUUAAGAGCUGAUGAGGGUGUAAUCCCUAGCAAUCCUUUAACAGCACAAAUGGAAAAGCUUCUAGUAAAUGUUUCUGUUUUUUUUCAGAGGUUGCUCUCCUCCAGAGGUUUGGUUUUCUGGCUCCUCCUAUGGAUGGCAGCCUGACGCUCUUUUUCAGUCUUUGGGAACAGCCCUGAGAAGAGCUACAUUUUUGACUUGGAAGGGCUGUUAUUUAAAUGGAAAAAUGUUACACAUAUAGUGCGUGUUCCUAGUCGUCUUCCCACAGAAUCAGCCAAAGAAGUGUCACUGGAAAAGCAAUAUGCAUUUCUCUUAAGUGUUUGUCUCAGAGUCUUGCUCCACAACAUCAGUUCAAAUCACAGUUUAAUUACAGAAGUGCUCAAUUUACAAAUGCUUGGCCACUCUACUGUUUUGAGUAAAGAAAUAAAGUGGCACUUGCACAUAUUCUGGCCUAGAUGAGAGAGUGCCCGCUCGUCGACAGCAGAGCCUAUGAGUUGCGAACAAAUAAAGGCUCAAGUAACAGGGAGUCUGCAGGUUGGACCUGAACGUCCUUUUUGCUGGCCAGCUAUGAACUGCUGGAGAACCGAUGCGCAUGGCACAGCAGUGAAUGUAGAAGGUUUGAUCCACAUCUGUUUCCAGCCGCAUGCUGGCUGGAGCAGCCUGAGCAUCAAUGCUUGCCCUAUCAGGUAAAUGCUGAUCUUAGGAACACUGUACCAGCAGUCACAGCACAAAGGUGUGGUGGUGCGGCAAAGGCAGAGCAUCACAGCAGCUCCAAAAGUUCUGACUUGGUUUCUCACAAAGAAAAUUUACAUUUCGUGCAUCUCAAGGUCCUUACUGACUGCCCUAUUUGCUUCAGGAUCCGGUUUGAAAUUGUAUUCCUUGUUUUUCAAACCACACCCUCACUCCUUGGACUUUUUUCCAGUUUGUCUCCUGGAGACAGUGAAGCCCUCCCCUUUCCUUCCGUCUCUUCUCUCCUUCCAACAGGCUCCUUGCUGCUGAGUUCAGAGCUGUCUCCUCUCGUCUUCUCCUGUCCAGAACCGACUCCCUGUGUGUGUCCUGGAGUCAUUUUCCAUUUUAGUACAAAAUUCCAUUCCAGUAAUGUCCUUUUCCCUUGGAAUUCAAUUCUCCUUGCCCCAUCUGUUGUUCUUAUUGAAUGCAUCGAACUUUGAAUCAUAUCAAGCACUUUGUGGCUCUGGAUGGGGUUCUUCUGUGGUUUUUGUAAGACAUUGUGCAAAUUCCUGACAGCAGGCUGGUAAAAAUUGUAUGUGGAAUGUUUUGGAAAAAGCAACUUGAAAUGCAAAGGUUCUGCUGCAGCAUUGUUCAGUAGGUGAGUGUUUAAUGUUUAAAUUCCCUCUAGUUCUUUCUCUGGUGGGGACAUGUCACUGUACACACUUAGCAUUUAAAGGAAAUCCCCUUUUAUGGUGGAUUUAACUCCUGACAUGUUCUCGAUAAAGGUCACUUCAUGAAUUUAUAGCUUGGUAUGUGAAGCCCCAUCCUGUGUUCCCUGCGCAUGGAAAGCUCAGCUGGAGAUGAUGAAUUCUGAUGGUAUUUAAUGUCAAAAUGAACACAAGUGUCUAGAGGCAGUAGCAGUGCAGGCUGGAGGUCUCCAGAUUCCCCAUAGAACUGAUGCCAUGAUGAUACAUAAUUUACUUGUAACUUGUAAGCAAUACACCCGUCUUUCCUCCCAGAAGCUCUUCCAUUUAAAGAAGCCAUGUCUGUCAUUGUGUAGCGCGCUGACAUUCAUGCUCUCUCUGCAUUCAUACAGGCGUUUGGUUCUUCUUUGGACACCUGCAUUCUCCAGAGUGUGCAGCACAGAUGCUGAAUUACUUGCACAGCAAUGUAUAAGGCAGCUGAAAUUGCAACUCCUUCAGCCUAACCUUGUAAAAACAGAGUUCUACUGGUCAGUGACGCAAAGCUGAAUAAAGAGCAUGGGAGUCAACGUCUGUCUUCAGAAUCGUGACAGUUGGGUCAGGGCUGCUUGCUACGUCAACAUUUUUAGAAGCUGAAUUCCUCCAGAGUGUUUUCUCUGGCAAUAUAUCCAUUAAAUGGAUAGAGGGGCUUGGCUUCAAAACCCUGAUGCUUGAGAGACCUGAGGAAGCAAAGACACUCCCUGCAGAUUCGCGCAGAUCAUGAACACCAUCAGACUGACUCAGCAAGUAUUUCUACAUAUGCCUAACCACAGAGGUGUAAGGAAGUUUAAUGGUUUUAAUAUGACUCUCAACACGAUUAAGAAAUAUGCACAAAUUUAAGCACGCAUUUUUCAAUUAAGGACCAUAGCUUCUUGCCUUCUAACGCACCCAGGCUCCACUGCUCUGUUAUUGCCACUGGCUGCUGGUGUCUAACGAUACAAGGAAAACAGUAAUGUCCUGCUUUACCCCAUAGUGAAGAGCUGCUUUGGUUGUGCUGUUCAGCUUACCUCUCUUGGGCGCUGGUGAAGUCCUCAGGUGUCUGGCAGGCUGUUGCUGUAAACCCAGCAUAGCACAUGUUAUCUUGAGAGGGGAAUAAGACCUCAGUGCUGUGUUUCAAACACCCAUUAGUAAAGCAAGCAAUUAAAAAAAGUCUUUAGCUUAUGGAGAUUGCAGGAAGGAAAACAGCUCCAGAAAUUUGAAGUUGGAAAUGUUAGAGCAGUCAGGUUCAUCAGUUUCCUAAGAACAAGCUUCCUUUCCACCACUUUCAGCUGCAAGGAUGACAAUCUGACCAUCCACUUUCACGCACUGAGCUGGACAAGGAGUGGAAACAGCUCAACAAAGAGCUAUUCAAAAGGGUCAAGAACAGGGAUUUAGUCCAUAACAAAUAAACACCUGAAGAUGGAAAAAAAAAUCAGGCUCUAUUUUCCCUCCCACAUGUUUUGGGAUCAUCGUGCCAGGAAAUUAUUAAAUCAUACAAAUUUCAGUAAUGAAUGCACUGCUUGGAUGGCACGUGAAAUUGCUGAGGGUUAUGGCUAAGGAAAAAUAACACAUUUUUCAGGGUCAGUAGUGAUGUAAAAUCAGAUAGAGGAGUUGGACUACAACUUAAACGGAUUUCUGAAAAUAGUACUGAUACGGGAGGAGACUUCCCUACGUGAUACAAGUAAGCAUUAAGAGGAAGCACAUACAUAAAAAGUAGAGUUGCACCUGCUGCGAUUCAGCACAACUGUUCCCCUUGAUGUUUUUGUUUGAUUGGGAAGACACUGCCACCUAAUUAAAGGAGGGAGGAAGCACCACCACUAAAGCACUUUAUGUAUCUAGAAAACCAUGUUUAAAUAUCGAGAACAAGGCUACUUUGGCUGUGCCAUAAAUGCCAGUUUGUAGCACAUUUGAUUUGUUCUGUGGUUAUUAAAGGUUGAUGCACUGUUAACAGGACUCUGACACUUUUCCCACCUGCACUUUGCUUAUUGUUGCAGUUCAGUUUUGGUGCAUUAGUUCUUGCUAAAUGUGUACCAACAAAAAUUAACGCAUCACUAAAUUAUUGCAACUAUGUCCUUUAGGAAACAAUAUCCUUCUCUCCAUCUUGUGCUACAGUAUUUUCCAAUUAAUAUUUUCUCUGUAUCUCUGUGAGUCACAACUGAACAUAGAGCCUGUGGACUGGAGGUGGGAGGCCACAGCUGGCAGCCUGGCCAGAGCAAAGCAGGCUGCGGCAUUGUUACUGACUGCUGCCAUUUUGAGCACAUCGGGUGAGGUGGGGAUAAUGCCAAAGGCAAGGAUUGAGGAUCAGCACCCACAAAUACUGCUAGCUCCUAUCUAAUACUGUAUUACUUCAUGCCACUUUAGGAAUAAAAAUAAAAGCCAGAAAUGUCAACAGCCUGUAACACAGCAAAUGUACAACGAAGCAGAUGAAAUGACUCACAGGUCUCCUCUGCAGUGUUGUUAGCAGCUCAAGUAUUUUCAGGGCAGAAGGCUGCAGAACUUUGAAUCUGGAAUUGUCUCAGAGUCUCCAUCAAAUUCCCAUCUUUAAGAAUUCUUGGCUUUCCACAAGAGUCAAAUUACAAUUGACAGGUCCUUGGACAUUCAGUCCAGAUCAUCCUGCAUGCAUUGUUCCAGGGUGAUGCUGUCCCUCCCUCCCAAAGCUCUUUCCAUGGGCAGGUGGAUGCAAUCAGGUUUUAACCUUUGCUUUCUUACAUGACUGUUUUGUAGCCUUAGUAUUCAUGUGUGUCUGAUGGAUUUCCUGGCUGCCUUUCUGCCUAGUCAUCACUUGAAAAGGGAAGGAACAUCCUGUCAUCAUCAUCCAAGUGGACCAGUAGGCAGAGACAUAAAUAGAUUGGCCAAUCCAGACACAAGGCAACAGUGAAAAUAAGUCAGUUAAGAUCGACUUCAUGAGUGUUAGUGUGCAGUAACUUUGUACUGUCAUUACUGUGGAUCCUACUGGAAGCUAAGAACAGACUGACUGCAUUACCACCCUUCUCAGUUACCUCUCACAAGGGAAUUCCUGCAGGAAUUUUUCUUCAAAGGCACUCAAACAUACUAGCCAGUAAACCCCACAGAACAAAUGAAUAUUGGAUGCAAACAAACAUUGGUAUUACACAGAAAUUCUAAGAGAAAUCUGGAGCUCAAAUCCUAGGGUAAAAACGUCAAAUUUUAGUACCCUCAUAACUGAGCUCAACGCAGCAUUAGACUGGCAGAAUUAGUAUACCGAUGAGACUGUAUUGAAAAAAAGUACCUUCAGUUAGCUCUUUCAUUCCCGUAAGAUGGACAGUGGAUGAAUGUAAAGGAUAAGAGAACAAGGAAGAAGUUGGAAAAGACGUAGGAAAAAAAUCAGCUAGAAGAAGCAAAAUGUUACAUUAAUAACUUGAUUGAAUGUAGGGAAGAGGUUAAAAAAUGGAGUAAAUAGCUUACAUUUUUAUCUAUUUUACAAAACUUUUAAUGUCAGUAAGAAAUUUUGUUGAAUAAAGCCAGAGGAAGACAAUUAAAUUCUAAUUUUUCCUCACAAGUCAUAACAUACCUUUUCUUAGAUUAUAAACUUAGGGGCAGGAUUUCUCACUUCCUAGGGCAGAUGUGCACCUGGCUAAUUGACAAACACAUUCCAGACUGUAUCGUUAUCUUUCUAUGCUGAAGGGUUAAUGAAUGCAGCAUGGCCUCAGUGGCACUCCUCAUACUCUUGCUGCCCUAGCUGGCCUUGGAAGGUUGUGAGACACACUGAAGCCAGGCAAAGGUUUCUUCUAAGCAAUAGAAAGUCUAGCAGUUUUUCAGAGUACUGAUCUACAGGCAGAGCUUAGUCAUUUGCCAAAGAUAUCUGUUAACAGAAAGAACAGAUUUACAAUUAAUAUAGAGGAAAAUGAAGGAUCAACUAGAAUCCAGAUGCCAAGGAAGACAGUUAUUUUCCCAAAAAAUAUUCACAGAGAGAGCUGGAAUGCCAUUUUCUAGAAGGUUCUGCCUCGCUAACAGCAAAGUCACAAUCCAUCUAGACUUUUUAUAGCUGAGGCAGGGCUCCAGAGUCACUGUAUUUAGAAAACCCUGCCUGGCCCCCCUCCAGGGGUCUUCCCAAUUUGGCAGACUGUUUAUCGUGGGGGUACCUCCCUGCUUUCUUUCAAGUAACCCUUAUCAGCCCAUCAGUUCUGGAUCCACAGAUCCCUGGAUCUCAGAGAUACAUAUUUACUUGGAAGCAAUGUACAACAUACGAUGUACAAAACCAAAAUGCAAAUUGUAAGACUCCCUCCUUUAAAACCAAACCAAACCAAGCUGCUUUUCAGACGCAGGGGAAAAAGACAGACAGGCAGAAGCACAGUACCUGCUCUUCCCACUUUUUCAUACUUGCACGAGCAUCUUUUUUACCACCCCCUUCCUCUCAUUUCCCAGAAAGGCAGAGACUGCAUUGUAAGAAAGGAAGUCCUUGAGAAAGCACAAAAGGGUUGAAAUGCCGGACCAGCCAUGAACUAAUUAGUGUGAAAUACUCUCUCUUCUGACUGUCCAAUUCUCCAUGCAAGUAGAGCAAGCUAAGAAUAUUUCUAGCAGAGACUCAGAAUUCACCACACCACUCCAUUGUCUACCAUCUUCCUCUGUACUCUUGGCAUUGUUUUGAUUUUUCUAUAUGCAACAGUAAGGUGCAGAGAUGGAAGAGCUCUCAGUUCCUAUCUGUUGGAGAACUCAGCACAAGGGCAGGAAAACAGUUCUUUGAAUCUUAAAAACCUGUCAAUCAUCUCUCUAGCAUUCUGACUUUCCCUUUUCAGAGCUUCUGUAGUAGCACUUCUGUGGCUUCAUGGUAUCAAAGAAAAUUAAAUCUCUAUUAUGAAGGAAAAAAAAAGAAAUUCAGAAGCCAAGUUCCUCUUCUCACAUGCAGAUAAGAACCUAGCUAAAGGUCAAGACAUUCUGAGGACUUAAUCAGCAAAUUUGGGACCACGCAGGAAUAUUACAUACCUGUGGCUUUUAAGUUUCCAAGAUUGUACAAUUGUUUUUGCCUUAUGUACAAUUGUUUUUGCCUUACUCCUAUCUUGCCUGCCUUCUUCACGUAUAUAUAUCCAGUUGAUGAUAUUCCAGAUGAUAACAAGCACUAUGGCAAGACUACUUUUCAAGCAACAUCUUGGAUUAUUUUGUCUGCACAAGUUAAGGUUUUGCAUAAAUGAAUGCUUGUCUGCAUUCCUCUUUCAGGAUCUAGGAGAACCUACUCAAGAGCCACCUAAUAAGGUCAGCUAAACAGUGACACAUGUAAGCAAAGAGGCACUUUGUAUAUAUACCACAAAACAAGAGAACAUCAGCUGAAUAUUUUUGGAAGUAAUAAAAAGAAAUGCAACAAAUUCACAUGUGAAAUAUUUAGUGCCUUUUGAUUGUUCUGUUUUCUGCAUUUUUUUUUUCAAAGUUGCACACAGUUGUAAAUUCUUUGGGUUCAAACUGAUGUACAAUUUAAUAUCUCAGUUUUAACUGUCAAUGAGAUAAGUUGAAUGCAUCUUUCAAAACAGGUGGUAAGCUUUAUAUAAGUAUCCAUACUGGUCUAAUCUGGCUGUCAAUAUGGGGCAUUAUUUCUUUCUUAAUAUUAUUAGUAUCUGUUUAAUAAUUUAUUUUUUCAGAAUGGAAGAAUUAACCUGCCUGUCCCAGGGACAUUCCAGUCACUUACAGGAUGAUUCAAAGAAAUAUUUUCAUAUCCUGAGUACAAGUGUUAUGGGAUACAUCAGCACCAUUUUCUCAUUCAAAUAAAAGAAACUUGCUAGCAUAUUCA